GACGAACGCUGGCGGCGUGCUUAACACAUGCAAGUCGAACGGAAAGGCCCUGCUUUUGUGGGGUGCUCGAGUGGCGAACGGGUGAGUAACACGUGAGUAACCUGCCCUUGACUUUGAGAUAACUUCAGGAAACUGGGGCUAAUACCGGAUAGGAGCUCCUGCUGCAUGGUGGGGGUUGGAAAGUUUCGGCGGUUGGGGAUGGACUCGCGGCUUAUCAGCUUGUUGGUGGGGUAGUGGCUUACCAAGGCUUUGACGGGUAGCCGGCCUGAGAGGGUGACCGGCCACAUUGGGACUGAGAUACGGCCCAGACUCCUACGGGAGGCAGCAGUGGGGAAUAUUGCACAAUGGGCGGAAGCCUGAUGCAGCAACGCCGCGUGCGGGAUGACGGCCUUCGGGUUGUAAACCGCCUUCGCCUGUGACGAAGCGUGAGUGACGGUAAUGGGUAAAGAAGCACCGGCUAACUACGUG
rnacentral:rRNA from 1 species